ensembl:miRNA microRNA 132
ACCGUGGCUUUAGAUUGUUACUGUAGCGUUGGCACGUGGUAACAGUCUACAGCCAUGGUCG